CAUUUUUGCCGUCAUUAUGAAUGCUCACGGCCUCGUUCGCCCUGAUAGUCCCCUCGUUUUCUAUUGCCACUAGAAACAAGUUUUCGGUGAUGAAAGCGGGGACGACGUCAACGUCAAAGGAACACGUCCUACUCCAUUCUGCCAAUGACCUCGUUUUCGAGUCGAUAUUGCGGCUGUUUGUAACAAACCACAUUUGCCAGCUAUAUCGCCAAAACACGAAUGUACGUUAGCGUAAAGGAGUGAUAACUCUGAGUCCGAGGGAGCUUCCAAUCAGAUAUAGACGACACCAGCUAACUGCCCCAACGAAGUGCGUUCUAGAAGAUGAAACUGGACUGAAAUUACGGACAGAAGUUCGCCCCUGCGGUGCGCACAGCGUGCAGGAAUUGAAGUAAGGCUGCGCUCGAAUCAUAAAUCCCUAUGAUCCCGACCAAGAUACCAAAUAAGCCUGCCCGUCAACGUAUUGAACACCAACAGCGGUAAAUAACGAUUGUAAGCUGUCGCUUCCAAACGGUUCAUGCAAAUGAUUCAAGAGUAACGUGACAGGUGGUUCAAGAAACCAGUGUCAAGGCAUGUGCUGGCCGUAAUAUUGUUUGAAGACGUGAAUUAGAAAACAUUGACAGCCAGAGGACUGUGUUUAUAUCAGGAAGAUGUUGUGGCCGAAGGGAAAUCCAGUCAAAUCAAAUAGAUUCGCAAGUUAUUAUCAAGUAAUCUAGCGGGAGCCCAGCGGACGAUAUGAAUCGUCGCAUAAUAUCGUUAACUGGUAGACACUGUCGAGCGUGUCGAUAUAACAUCCACUUCUAAAUAGAAGGGUUUUAGCCUUGCCUUUACCUACGCCGUCCUAAAAGAUCACGUGUAAAAUGACCGUCUUAUUUGCCUUGUAAAGGGGCCUAUCAUAUAAACUGGUCCUGCAGUAUCACUGUCUGCGCAGUUUCUGUAAAACAGCACGCUGCAAAUCUUAAAUGUUGUAUUGUAAAUAUAACAAUGCCGUUAAUACUGCGUAGAAUGGGAGCUUUGAAGUUAUUUCCAUUUCCAUCUAGACGCCUGUACUCCAAGUCAUUGCUGUGAAAAUUACGAGUAAUCAUCACAACGGGACAAAAGUCGAAAACUCUGCCGCAAAGCAUUUUCAAUUCAACCGAUCCCUCUGGCGUUGUUCAGGAACCAGCCAAACGUAAUUCUCAAGGUCAAUACGGACGACGGAGAAAAUAUGCAACUUUACGGUGGAUUUGGAUGAAGAGGUUAUCAACUAGACGGAGCAUUUAUGCACAACCGUUUAAGAACAUAGCGUCCCAGUAGAUGGCUAGCACGGGGAGGUCCUCUAAAACACCCUGCCCGUUCCUCAGACUUGAGGCCUAUGGACUUCCUUGUGGGGACACCUUAAAAACAAGCUCUACCCUGAAAAGUCACCAACACUAGAAAACUUGGACCUUUUGUUUUAAUUUCUAAAUAAAUAGCCCACCGUUAUCAGCGGCGUAUUGACCAAAACGGUAAUCAUUUGGGACAUCCGCGAUAAGACGAAAGCUUACACACUUUGCGUGGAUCCUUCUAUGAUCUAAAUAUUUACUAUAUACAGACAAAAACUGAACUUAAAAUAAUUUCAUCUGAAUAUGUAUUUUUUGUACACCCAAUAGACACAAACAGUCCUAGGCACAUUUCAUCACUGCAACCGUAGUCAGCCCGUAUCUAUUGGUAUACUCAAACGAUUGACUCAGCGCUCCUUUUGAUGACUCAAGUUCGUGAACAGGAACAAACUACCAGCCCACCUACUAAAACGUUAACCAUAUCUUACUAUUUGCGUUUUUAUAGAGCACUCCCGCCCGCGCAUCGCACUUGAUUAAGCGCAGUUCCAUUUCUUAAAGCUACUAGCUUCACAGAUGCCUUACGUGUUGACGACUAUUCGUUAAGACGUAGCGACGCCAUUCUAACAAUUAGAGAACAUUGGCUUUGCGUUUCGGUCAGCCAUGUCCACGGACCGAAACUCAUUAGCGGUAUUAAUCAUCUCCCUUAGCGACACUUACCCUACAAACUAUUACCGCACAGAUGAAGAAAA